GUCUCUUUUAGUUUAUUGAUGGAGUCACACUAAUCCAAGUUAAAAGCAGGACCUCAAAUAGUUACAUUAUACAAGCUGUGAAGUUUUUAAACUUGUGACAAAAGACAGAAGGGAAAUUCUACCCAUUGCAAGGAAAUCCUCACUUAAGCUUCAGUAAGCCACAAGCAUUUAAAGCCUAUGAACCUUCAGCCGAUCAUCCUUAGCCAGUCCAUUCUCUCCCAGGAACUGGAAUAUAUUCUUGUGCUGGUGACCCUGUAGUUGAAUUACUUCUCCAUAUUCUGGAUGCUCAAUUACAGUACCAGGGCAGGCAAAUUUCUUCUUAAACGUCUUCACUAGUUUCUUUUUAUCAGAAUCAUCAACCAUCCUUUGGAUUGUAGUAAGGGUUCCUGGCCUUUUUUUUAUUGAAUUCUUAUAUGGAUAUAAUCCUCAGUGCCAGCAGGAAGCAGGUCAUCACCCUUACUUGCAUCAGCAAAGGGGUUGGAAGAGUGGGAGUUCUGGUUAGCAAACAUACAAUGCAAUUUCUUUCCUUGGUGGAAAUGGCCUGCAGAAGCAACGGUGCCAACACCUAAAGCACCCACAGUUACUAGCAAAUGCCAGUUAAUAGCAAAUGCCAUAAUUUUAUUUUUCUUUAUGGUUGACUGGAAUUUCUGCGUGUGUGUGUGUGUGUGUGUGUGACGUUUUCUUUAUCCAUUCAUCUGUUGACAGGCACCUAAUGUCAACAGAUUCUGCUGAUGUUCCCCAACGUACUCACCUUCACCUCCCUCCACCAGGAGCUAAACACAGCAGGUUUGAAAUCCAUACCCUACCAUGACUCCCCAGUGGUUAGUAUCAGAUGCUGAGUCCUUGCGGUGGCUCAGUGACUGGGGAUCAAUGUGAUUUUUAUUUGCAUUUCCUAUUUAGUAGAUGUUCAACAUUUUUUCAUAUAUAUAUUAACCAAUUGUCUUUCUUCUUUUAAGAAAUGUCUGUUUAGUUCUUUUGCCCAUUUGAGGUUUUU
rnacentral:lncRNA from 1 species